rnacentral:pre_miRNA from 1 species
UUUGGCACUAGCACAUUUUGCUGUUAUUUCAGUCAGCGAAAGUAUGCUAGUGGCAAGGA